rnacentral:piRNA from 1 species
UAGGGUCAUGUGCUUCAAUACAAUUCCUU